AGAGCGAACGCUGGCGGCAGGCCUAACACAUGCAAGUCGAACGGACCCUUCGGGGUUAGUGGCGGACGGGUGAGUAACACGUGGGAACGUGCCUUUAGGUUCGGAAUAGCUCCUGGAAACGGGUGGUAAUGCCGAAUGUGCCCUUCGGGGGAAAGAUUUAUCGCCUUUAGAGCGGCCCGCGUCUGAUUAGCUUGUUGGUGAGGUAAUGGCUCACCAAGGCUACGAUCAGUAGCUGGUCUGAGAGGAUGACCAGCCACAUUGGGACUGAGACACGGCCCAAACUCCUACGGGAGGCAGCAGUGGGGAAUCUUGCGCAAUGGGCGAAAGCCUGACGCAGCCAUGCCGCGUGAAUGAUGAAGGUCUUAGGAUUGUAAAUUCUUUCACCGGGACGAUAAUGACGGUACCCGAGAAGAAGCCCGGCUAACUUCGUGCCAGCAGCCGC
rnacentral:rRNA from 1 species